rnacentral:snoRNA from 1 species
CCUCCUCCUAGAGGAGUUACAGGUGUGGCUGCUGCACAUCAGAAGGUGACAGAGAAGAGAGAGGCUGUGUCAACACCUGAAUGAGUAGUAGCCUAACACU